AUAUAGCCUUUGUCAUUCGAACAAAAUACUUAUCAUUACUUGUAGUUGAAGCUACAGAACAUUAAAAAGCUCCCAACUCUUUUUACCCCGACGCAUUCAUAUCAACAAAAAAGGAAAGAUCUGAACGCGUAAUCCCGAAACAGAAACAAAAAGAACAAACUAAAACAGAGAAAGAUAAUACUUACUAAUCAGGAUCAUUUAGGGAAUUUCAAACCACAUUGCUUGAGAAUCUCAACAUAGCUAACUUUAUCAUCUCUUUCAUUGAGUUUCUCUCCACUGUUACGAAGAAGAGCUUCGAUAAUUUCUUUAAAAGGCAAAACCUCACCAGAAUUUUCAGUUUUAGAGACCUUGGUCCCUUCACUUGCAGACGAAGAAGCAGAAUUGUCAGAAGCAGAAAUUCGUUGUUUUACUAAAACCAUAGUUCUUCCGAUUGCAGUCGGAGGAGAAGAAUCAGAAUCAAGAUGCUUUGCCGGAACCCUAACAUCGUCGGCCGCAACAGACGGCGGAGAAGAAGACAAAGGAACGGAAUCACCGGAAUCAGAAUGACAUUUCGUCUCAAAAACCCUAACUUUUUCUGACGGUGAAGCAGAAACAGGGGUCGUCUCAAAAACCCUAACUUUUUCUGAGGGUGAAACAGAAACAGGGGUCGUCGAAGACGAAGAGUUCAAAUUCGACUCCGAAACCCUAGCAUUUACGGACGGUGAAGCAGAAACAGGCGUCGUUUUGGCCGUAGAAGAAGAAGAUUUCAAAUUCGACUCUGAAACCCUAACAUUUUCCGCCGGAAGAGACGGCGAAGAAGAAACAAGCGUCGUCUCAGCCAUAGAAAACGGAGUUGUCAGAUUCGAACCUCCUUGGAGCUUAAUCUCCGAAACCCCAACUCUGGGUUCCGAUUCAGCGGCAGAGGAGAGAGACGCGUUCUCAGGAGGAGUACGAAAGACGUCAUCGUUGAUAGAAUCGAGGCUAGUCGGAGAAGAGAACGAGAGAAUCGGAGUUUUAACAACCGCCGGAGAAAUCUGGUUCCCGAGAACCUCAGUGUUGUCAGAAUCCGUCGAUUUUGUCGGAAGAGCUUCGUGACCGGCGAAAGGACAGUUUUUGAGGUAAGAUUUCUGAGAAGAAGAGAUGCUUUCGAAUUCGCUCGAGUCGCUUCCAACAUUUUCCGCCAUUUUUUGAUGAGUGAGUGAGUGACUCUUCCACUGUCUCAGUCUCUUCCGUUAAAAGGAGCGCUCAG